ACGUUCGCUUUUCCGUCGUCCUYGGGACAUUAAGGUGCUCUGGUCGAGGAUAAAYGACCCCUCUGACCGAGGUCAAACCYGUCGCUCUGUGUUACCUCUAAAAAAWUUUUUCCGAGGCACACCUUAAAGAUCGUUCCGCAUUGUGAGUCUAACACCAGUUGUAUAAACUUUUUACAACCGGUAGCGCUGGAUCCCUUGGCACGUCAUUCGAUGAAGACCGUUGCAAAUUGCGAUAAAGUGAUGUGAUGCGCAAGUCCACCACUUAUACGUGAAUCAUCGAGUUGUUGAACGCAUUGCACCGCGCCCUAAUCCGGCUGCGGUAUGCCCCUUUGAGCGUCAUUGUWUUCCUUCGGGAGUCCUUUUACAAGGACCCGAGUUCGGAGUCCUCGGUCCCCUGUGGAUCGUGUUCUCUCAGAUCCCUCGCACCGAUCGCCUGAUGGGUCCUCUAAUGCCUAAGCGUGGAGKUCCUUCAGAGUCCGASASGUGCUUGACCGAGUCUUGAGCUCGUGUCACCAAGUCYGCCUAMCAGCRGUACUACAACSCAUGACCUCAUUGGGGUAGGACAACCCGCUAGACUUAAGCAUAUUAAUCAGCGGAGGAAAAGAAACUAACCAGGAUUCCCUCAGUAACUGCGAGUGAAGCGGGAUCGGC
rnacentral:rRNA from 1 species